AAACAAAACAAACAAGUUCCAAUUAUAUAACAUAAUUGAAUUGAAACAAGACAAAUAUCAUGUAUCAAAAACAUUUAAAUAGCAGAAUGACAACUUAGUAUCCUGUAGAGAAAUAUUUGCAAGUUUGGUUCAAUUCUGUGCAACUGAUGUCAAGGAGAUGUGCAUAACAAAUUGUGUUAAAACAACAGGACUAGUAUGUAAUGAUUCCCUAUGAGAAGCUUCAGCUGGACCCUCUCAUCUGACAGAAUAACUGAUAAAAAUGAAAAUUCUUUGUAUUUGUCAUAUAAUUACUUCUUUCAGGAUUUGAGAGAU
rnacentral:lncRNA from 1 species